UUGGACCCUCAAGGUCCCGGUGAGUUAACGGAACAAGCAUUAUAGAAUUUCCCAAAUCAUCUCCCGGAGAGGACUGGGGAGGCCCUUAUCCCGGACUAAGUCGUAGUGGUGCUCAGCCAUCCAUGGGCACACAGACUCUUCCAGAAACAACUGCGUCAGAAAGGAUCAAAUAGCUAAAAGAAAUAAAAAUUUAGAAAAAGAAAAGAGGGGGGUUUUAUUAUCUUGUUAGAAAGCAGUGGACAUCAUUCUUGAACUUUUUUGUAAUCACUUUAACGAAUGAGUGGUUUAAGCAAAAUUAUCAAAAUGACUUCCCAAAAUUACACGUCAAUUUGAGUCAGAUCAGCAUUAUACUUAAAGCUAUUCUCGAAUGCAGGCUGAAUUCGGUUCUCAUUAAACUUAUAGCAUAGGCUCACUUUUGGACGGACAGUCCAUACUCCAGGACAAGGAAGGGUGUUGAGAAAGCGAGGGGAAACCUAAGGCUGCUGAAAUCAACGUAUUUCCAUCUGGGCUUCAAGUGUUUUUUUUUUUUCCAAAAAUAUAAUUUCAUCUUAACGUUGUGAUUAAUUUUUAAAUGUAUUUGCUCAGUAUAAUUUUUAAAUGCAAUAUUUAAUGCUGUCAGAUUACUUGAAGACAAAGUUUUACAGAAAACUUUAAAUUUCAAAAAAAAGCUGCAAUGUACCAAUAAACACCUAGAAAAUAAUAUAAUUAAAAAAUUUAAAGCAUCAAACAACCUCAAGAUCUCGUCAGGAAUAAUGAACAAGGCAUUUUGCGUUCACAUCGGUUAGCAACUUGCAUCCCAGUUCACGCGGGGGAGGGUGAUGGUCGAUAUUUCUGUGUGUGUGUGAGAAUCCAGCACAAUUAUUUUGCCCGUUUUCCCAAGAGAAAGAAGCUAGGGGGAGGGGCAGAGGAUGGACGGAGGGGGCUCGGCUGCAGUACGUUUUGGUUCAGCGAUUGUGUUUCCUUGAAACACUUUUAGAUAAAUUCUGCUCGAAAUCGCUAAUUUUUUCUAUUUUUGUAGAGACAGGAUCUCACUAUGUUGCCCAGGCUGGUCUUGGACUCCUGGGCUGUAGCCAUCCACUCACCUCAGCGUCUGUCCAUUGUCCUGUCCACCAAGGACUCACUCUAGAACACGGAUCGGAUCUUAGCGUCCUGCUCAGAUACCUCCAGUGGCUUCCCAUUGCCUUUAUUGAUUUAUCUUUAAAUGUUCUUUUUUUAAUUCCAACUUUUAUUUUAGAUUCAGAGGGUACACGUGCAGAUUUGUAGCUGGGUAUACUGCGUGACGCUGAGGUUUGGGGUACUGUUGAUCCCGUCUCCCAGGUACUGAGCAUAGUACCCAGUGGUUAGGUUUUCAUUCCUUCUCCUGCCCUCCUCUAGUAGCCCCAGUGUCUAUUGUCCCCUCUUUGUGUCCAUGAAUACCCAAUGUUGAGCUUCCACUGUCGCAUCAGACCAUGCGGUGUUUGCUUUUCUGUGUCUGCGUUAAUUCACUGAGGAUGAUGGCCUGCAGCUGCAUCUGUUGCUGCAGAGGAUGUGAUUUUGCGCUUUUCUAUGGUUGGGCCCACUGUCUUUAACAUCAAGUUUGUGUUUCUUAUCACAGCUCUGGGUGCUUUACCCAGCAGCCUCCCCCAUGCCCACUCCGCAGCCUGGACGCUGGUGCCGGGGCCUCCAGCCCA
rnacentral:lncRNA from 1 species